rnacentral:rRNA from 1 species
UUGCUUCUCUUGAGAGCGGCGGACGGGUGAGUAAUGCCUAGGAAUCUGCCUGGUAGUGGGGGAUAACGUUCGGAAACGGACGCUAAUACCGCAUACGUCCUACGGGAGAAAGCAGGGGACCUUCGGGCCUUGCGCUAUCAGAUGAGCCUAGGUCGGAUUAGCUAGUUGGUGGGGUAAUGGCUCACCAAGGCGACGAUCCGUAACUGGUCUGAGAGGGUGAUCAGUCACACUGGAACUGAGACACGGUCCAGACUCCUACGGGAGGCAGCAGUGGGGAAUAUUGGACAAUGGGCGAAAGCCUGAUCCAGCCAUGCCGCGUGUGUGAAGAAGGUCUUCGGAUUGUAAAGCACUUUAAGUUGGGAGGAAGGGUUGUAGAUUAAUACUCUGCAAUUUUGACGUUACCGACAGAAUAAGCACCGGCUAACUCUGUGCCAGCAGCCGCGGUAAUACAGAGGGUGCAAGCGUUAAUCGGAAUUACUGGGCGUAAAGCGCGCGUAGGUGGUUUGUUAAGUUGGAUGUGAAAUCCCCGGGCUCAACCUGGGAACUGCAUUCAAAACUGACUGACUAGAGUAUGGUAGAGGGUGGUGGAAUUUCCUGUGUAGCGGUGAAAUGCGUAGAUAUAGGAAGGAACACCAGUGGCGAAGGCGACCACCUGGACUAAUACUGACACUGAGGUGCGAAAGCGUGGGGAGCAAACAGG